UACGUAGGGUGCAGGCGUUAAUCGGAAUUACUGGGCGUAAAGCGUGCGCAGGCGGUUUCUUAAGUCUGCUGUGAAAGCCCCGGGCUCAACCUGGGAAUUGCAGUGGAUACUGGGGAGCUAGAGUGCGGUAGAGGGUAGUGGAAUUCCCGGUGUAGCGGUGAAAUGCGUAGAGAUCGGGAAGAACACCAGUGGCGAAGGCGGCUACCUGGACCAGCACUGACACUGAGUCACGAAAGCGUGGGGAGCAAACAGG
rnacentral:rRNA from 1 species